rnacentral:rRNA from 1 species
CCUGGUAGCGGGGGAUAACUAUUGGAAACGACAGCUAAUACCGCAUAACAGUAGAUAUUGCAUGAUAUCUGCUUGAAAGGUGCAAAUGCAUCACUACCAGAUGGACCUGCGUUGUAUUAGCUAGUUGGUGAGGUAACGGCUCACCAAGGCGACGAUACAUAGCCGACCUGAGAGGGUGAUCGGCCACACUGGGACUGAGACACGGCCCAG